CUUCAACGACCCCAUCCACAAAGGCCGAUCACGAUCCUGGCCAUACGUGGCCAACACCGCCUGCGCCUC
rfam:Streptomyces violaceusniger Tu 4113, complete genome.